rnacentral:rRNA from 1 species
AUUGAACGCUGGCGGCAGGCCUAACACAUGCAAGUCGAGCGAGCGGCGGACGGGUGAGUAAUGUAUGGGGACUGCCCGAUAGAGGGGGAUAAAUACUGGAAACGGUGGCUAAUACCGUUUACUAACGGAUAACCCAUAUGGGUUUAGCUAGUAGGUGGGGUACAGGCUCACCUAGGCGACGAUCUCUAGCUGGUCUGAGAGGAUGAUCAGAAACACAGGGACUGAGACACGGCCCGGUAUCAUACGGAGGCAGCAGUGGGGAAGAUUGCACACUGGGCGCAAGCCUUAGGCAGCAAUGCGGCGUGAAUGAAGAAGGCCUUUGGGUUGUAAAGUACUUUCAGCGGGGAGGCGUUACCCGCAGAAGAAGCACCGGCUAACUCCGUGCCAGCAGCCGCGGUAAUUC